rnacentral:rRNA from 1 species
CCUACGGGGGGCAGCAGUGAGGAAUAUUGGUCAAUGGACGAGAGUCUGAACCAGCCAAGUAGCGUGAAGGAUGAAGGUCCUACGGAUUGUAAACUUCUUUUAUAAGGGAAUAAAACCUCCCACGUGUGGGAGCUUGUAUGUACCUUAUGAAUAAGCAUCGGCUAACUCCGUGCCAGCAGCCGCGGUAAUACGGAGGAUGCGAGCGUUAUCCGGAUUUAUUGGGUUUAAAGGGAGCGCAGACGGGUCGUUAAGUCAGCUGUGAAAGUUUGGGGCUCAACCUUAAAAUUGCAGUUGAUACUGGCGUCCUUGAGUGCGGUUGAGGUGUGCGGAAUUCGUGGUGUAGCGGUGAAAUGCUUAGAUAUCACGAAGAACUCCGAUUGCGAAGGCAGCACACUAAGCCGUAACUGACGUUCAUGCUCGAAAGUGUGGGUAUCAAA